rnacentral:pre_miRNA from 1 species
CUCAUACUCCCUCCGUCAGAAAAUACAUGUCCUAGAAAUGGAUAUAUAUAUAUAGAUUUAUUUUAGUUAUAGAUAUACCCAUUAUACUCAUUUUUAGAACAAGUAUUUCCGGACGGAGGCAGUAUUUG